GAAGGAAACUGAUCCGCAGGCCGCGUGCCUACACAAUGCAGUCGAACGAUGAAGCCUAGCUUGCUAGGUGGAUUAGUGGCGAACGGGUGAGUAAUACGUGAGUGACCUACCUUUGACUCUGGGAUAAGCCUGGGAAACUGGGUCUAAUACCGGAUACGACCAAUCUCCGCAUGGGGUGUUGGUGGAAAGCGUUAUGGAGUGGUUUUAGAUGGGCUCACGGCCUAUCAGCUUGUUGGUGAGGUAAUGGCUUACCAAGGCGACGACGGGUAGCCGGCCUGAGAGGGUGACCGGCCACACUGGGACUGAGACACGGCCCAGACUCCUACGGGAGGCAGCAGUGGGGAAUAUUGCACAAUGGGCGCAAGCCUGAUGCAGCGACGCCGCGUGAGGGAUGACGGCCUUCGGGUUGUAAACCUCUGUUAGCAUCGAAGAAGCGAAAGUGACGGUAGGUGCAGAGAAAGCGCCGGCUAACUACGUGCCAGCAGCCGCGGUAAUACGUAGGGCGCGAGCGUUGUCCGGAAUUAUUGGGCGUAAAGAGCUUGUAGGCGGUUGGUCGCGUCUGCUGUGAAAGGCUGGGGCUUAACCCUGGUUUUGCAGUGGGUACGGGCUAACUAGAGUGCAGUAGGGGAGACUGGAAUUCCUGGUGUAGCGGUGGAAUGCGCAGAUAUCAGGAGGAACACCGAUGGCGAAGGCAGGUCUCUGGGCUGUAACUGACGCUGAGAAGCGAAAGCAUGGGGAGCGAACAGGAUUAGAUACCCUGGUAGUCCAUGCCGUAAACGUUGGGCACUAGGUGUUGGGGGACAUUCCACGUUUUCCGCGCCGUAGCUAACGCAUUAAGUGCCCCGCCUGGGGGAGUACGGCCGCAAGGCUAAAACUG
rnacentral:rRNA from 1 species